rnacentral:rRNA from 1 species
GACGAACGCUGGCGGCGUGCUUAACACAUGCAAGUCGAACGGAGAGGCCCUGCUUUUGUGGGGUGCUCGAGUGGCGAACGGGUGAGUAACACGUGAGUAACCUGCCCUUGACUUUGGGAUAACUUCAGGAAACUGGGGCUAAUACCGGAUAGGAGCUCCUGCUGCAUGGUGGGGGUUGGAAAGUUUCGGCGGUUGGGGAUGGACUCGCGGCUUAUCAGCUUGUUGGUGGGGUAGUGGCUUACCAAGGCUUUGACGGGUAGCCGGCCUGAGAGGGUGACCGGCCACAUUGGGACUGAGAUACGGCCCAGACUCCUACGGGAGGCAGCAAUGGGGAAUAUUGCACAAUGGGCGGAAGCCUGAUGCAGCAACGCCGCGUGCGGGAUGACGGCCUUCGGGUUGUAAACCGCUUUCGCCUGUGACGAAGCGUGAGUGACGGUAAUGGGUAAAGAAGCACCGGCUAACUACGUG